UACGUAGGCAGCAAGCGUUGUUCGGAAUUACUGGGCGUAAAGAGUGUGUAGGCGGUGUUCUAAGUUUGGUGUGAAAUCUCCCGGCUCAACUGGGAGGGUGCGCCGAAAACUGGAAUGCUAGGGUAUGGGAGAGGUAAGCGGAAUUCCUGGUGUAGCGGUGAAAUGCGUAGAUAUCAGGAGGAACACCUGUGGUGUAGACAGCUUACUGGACCAUCACUGACGCUGAGACACGAAAGCGUGGGUAGCAAACAGG
rnacentral:rRNA from 1 species